rnacentral:tRNA from 1 species
GGCGCCGUAGACUAACUGGCCAGGUCCCCGGACUUUCAAUCCGGAAGGUGCGGGUUCGACCCCCGUCGGCGCUA